rnacentral:rRNA from 1 species
UACGUAGGGUGCGAGCGUUAAUCGGAAUUACUGGGCGUAAAGCGUGCGCAGGCGGUUUUGUAAGCCAGAUGUGAAAUCCCCGGGCUUAACCUGGGAAUGGCAUUUGGGACUGCAAGGCUCGAGUGCGGCAGAGGAGACUGGAAUUCCUGGUGUAGCAGUGAAAUGCGUAGAUAUCAGGAGGAACACCGGUGGCGAAGGCGGGUCUCUGGGCCGAUACUGACGCUGAGGAGCGAAAGCGUGGGGAGCGAACAGG